GAUGAACGCUAGCUACAGGCUUAACACAUGCAAGUCGCGGGGCAGCAUGGGGGUUGCCUGCCAUCCCCGAUGGCGACCGGCGCACGGGUGAGUAACGCGUAUCCAACCUGCCCUUCACCACGGGAUAACCCGGCGAAAGUCGGACUAAUACCGUAUGUUGUCCAUUGACGGCAUCCGAUUUGGACGAAAGGUUUGGCGGUGAAGGAUGGGGAUGCGUCCGAUUAGCUGGACGGCGGGGUGACGGCCCACCGUGGCGACGAUCGGUAGGGGUUCUGAGAGGAAGGUCCCCCACACUGGAACUGAGACACGGUCCAGACUCCUACGGGAGGCAGCAGUGAGGAAUAUUGGUCAAUGGGCGUAAGCCUGAACCAGCCAAGUAGCGUGCAGGAUGACGGCCCUAUGGGUUGUAAACUGCUUUUAUGCGGGGAUAAAGUGGCCCACGUGUGGGUUUUUGCAGGUACCGCAUGAAUAAGGACCGGCUAAUUCCGUG
rnacentral:rRNA from 1 species